GGCUGUUCAAGAACAGGGUGGCUGUCCUCAAAUGAUUCGGGGGGACAGAGGAAAGGAGAACCUUGUUGUGGGUCAAAUGCAGAUGGCAUUUCACAUGCGAGAUCUUGGGAAUCAGGCAUGGAGGUGCUUCAGAAUGGGGACAUCAGUGCACAACCAGAGAGCUGAAUGUUUCAACAGUAUUUUAAAGCGGACAUGGAUUAAGAAAUGGCUGACAA